GACGAACGCUGGCGGCGUGCUUAACACAUGCAAGUCGAACGGAAAGGCCCCUUUGGGGGUACUCGAGUGGCGAACGGGUGAGUAACACGUGAGUAACCUGCCCUUGACUUCGGGAUAACUUCAGGAAACUGGGGCUAAUACCGGAUAGGAAUCCUUGCUGCAUGGUGGGGGUUGGAAAGCUUCGGCGGUUUUGGAUGGACUCGCGGCUUAUCAGCUUGUUGGUGGGGUAGUGGCUUACCAAGGCUUUGACGGGUAGCCGGCCUGAGAGGGCGACCGGCCAAAUUGGGACCGAGGUACGGCCCAGACUCCUACGGGGGGCAGCAGGGGGGAAUAUUGCACAAUGGGCGGAAGCCUGAUGCAGCAACGCCGCGUGCGGGAUGACGGCCUUCGGGUUGGAAACCGCUUUCAGCAGGGGCGAAGCUUGCGGUGACGGUACCUGCAGAAGAAGCACCGGCUAACUACGUG
rnacentral:rRNA from 1 species